GGAAGGGGCCUGAGGCCGGGAAGGGCGGGGGUUGGCGCCCAAAACAACUCGAGGGGAGGCCCAGGCCUGCUCGAGGGCCAUGCCCCCCUCUUCCCCCCUCACCUUGAAGUUUUCAAAGAACCGGGGAAGAAGUCCUUGAGGCGGGCCAGGGUGCAGACGGUGCUGCGGAGGGCCCAGUAGGAGGAAGGCCGAGGCCGAGGCCGGGAAGAGGAGAGAGGAUUGUCCUCCCACACCUGUUAUAUGCCUGUGAAACACGGACUGCCUACAGACAUCACACUCAACUCCUGGAAAGAUUCUAUCAGCGUUGCCCCCCAAAAAUCCUGCAAAUCUCUUGGGAAGGCAGGUGGACAAAUGUCAGCGUGCUGGAAGAAGCAAAGACCACCAGCACUGAAGCGAUGCUCCUACACCAUCAACUCUGCAGGACUGGCCACGUUGUCCAAAUGCCUGAUCACUGUCUUCCAAAGCAGUUACUAUACUCCUGACUCAAGAAUGUGAAAUGUAAUGUUGGUGGGCAGGAAAAGAGAUUUAAAAAUGGGCUUAAAGCCAACCUUAAAAACUGUGGUAUAGACCCAAAGAACUGGGAAGCCCUUGCCCUUAAGCACUCUAACCGGAGGUCAGCUGUGACCAGCAGUGCUGUGGAAUUCAAAGAGGCACGAAUGGAGGGAGAAACAUGCCAAGAGGAAGGCGCAUCAAGCCAACCCUGACCGGGACUGCUUUCCAUCUGGAAACUGAUGUCUUCACUGCGGAAGAACAUGUGGGUCAAGAAUAGGUCUCCACCGCCACCUACGCAUCCACCGCCAAGACACAACACUUGAAGAGCCAUCAUCCUCGGGCUACGAGGGAUCACCUAAGUAAGUAAUAUUUCAUCUCCACUUUAUCUUCACAACAGCCCUCUUAGGCAGCUCUUAUGCAGCUCAAGGUGUGAGAGAGUGAUGGGCCCAAAAUUAUUUUCAUGGGCUGUGGGAAACUGAAUGGGAUUUCCAGUUUAUAGUCACACACUGUAACCACAUCACAUUGGGUGUCCGUUUUGGCAUGGGACUAAUUCUUAAUGGAUUUCCUUUGGCAUUGAUGUUCAGUGGGUUGUUUGCAAUCUUAAACUCCGGGUUUCAUUCCCUAGCAAGAAAUAACAAAUUCUACUAGCUAUUUUUUUCUACAGUUGUUGGCCAACUGCUGACUAGUAACACCUCUGUAGAUAAAAUGUGCUCCACAUAUCUAGAUAUUCACUGCAAAGAAAACAUAAACUUCUGAUGCCCACAAAGAGGUUUCUGAACACACUAAAUAAACAGUAAUAAUUUCAAAAGGGAAAUUAAUAGCUUCGGAUAAGCAGAAUUACUCCAUGUGUUCUCCCAAUACAGCACAGUUAAGGAACCUGUUGGCCUCCAGAUAUGGUUGUACUCACACCUCCCAUCACUUCCAGCCACUAUGGGCAUAGUCUGGGAUAAGAUCAGUGAUAGUCCAACAACAUCUGAAUGACCAGGAACUCCCCAUCCCAACAUUAGAAGUUGCCAAAUAUUUUAUAUCAUGGAUAGGAAGCAGGUAAGGAAAACAAAUUGCUGCAGACUAACAUUUGGAACACAACUUGUGUUAUGACUUGUGCAACAAGGUUAUUUGGACACAUAGGGUGCAAGUGUGAAAGUCUGCUGCACAAUCUCACUUAUUCAUGGAAUUGAAACCAUGCCUACAUUUCACUGUUAACACAAACCUCUUUCAAUGCUGAGAAUGAAAUACAGGUCUUGUUGCAGUCAGUUUCAUAAAAUAAUCAUCUAAACAGAACUCGUUUAUAGCCUUGGAUGUCACAAAAUACCAAGUAUCUGAAAUAGUGAUUUUAGACUAUUAACACCUGCUUCUAUGCCUCCCACCCCAUCUCUGCUCAGAUGGGGGUUUUUUUCCAGAUAGGGAAAAUGGGAAUGUUUAUUUCAGUUGCAUAAAUGAGUCACUCUCACUGAAACUGGCACAGACUAUCCUCAAAAACAAAAGCAAUUCCAUAAACUACACACAAAUAAGGCAGACACAAAGGUUCUCUGGGUUGUAGCACAAAAGCACAAUUUAGCAGCAGAAUAAAGCUUGGAGCUAGACAAGAGAACUGACAUCAGCACGCGUGCUAAUCAUAGUACAAAGGCCCUUCUAUGUUUUGUCAAACUGAAAAGGGAGCCCACAUAAAUCACUCUUUGUUAUCUGAAAAUAUCUGGGAUUCUUGAAGCCUGUUCUAUUUUUAACAUUUUAGCAUUGGCUGCCUGGCAGGGGCUGUGCAUGGCCUGACUGAAAAGCACUGAAAAACACCAUGUGUGUGUAUAUAUGUGCCUUCAAAUUGCCUGUUGACUUAUGACAACGCCAUGAAAUUAAGUUUUUUCCUUAGGCAAGGAAUCCUCACAGGUGGUUUUGUCAGUUUUUUCCUCUGAAAUAUAGCCUACAGUCUGGUAUUUCUUGAAAGUAUCCCAUCCACGUACUAUCUUUGCUUAGCUUCCAAGAUCUGGUAUAUUAAACGUACUGAGACUGCAAAACAACAAAGGACUCUGGUUUGGCAUCUGCUUCCCAAACCUAGAAUCUCUGCUGUGCAUUUGAGCCAAACUCAUAUAAAAUGUAUUCUUUCAUUCACCCAUGCUGAAGACUUAUCAAAUCUUCCAGAUAGAGCAACUGAUGUGGAUGCCUACAAACACAUACUAAAGGGAAAUAUCUGUUCUUCAGAAAACAACCCAUCUUAUAAUGAACUUGAAGGGUUUUUUUAUUUAAAAAAAUCAAAUGCAUAAGAAAGCAAAA